AUACGGAGGAUCCGAGCGUUAUCCGGAUUUAUUGGGUUUAAAGGGUGCGCAGGCGGCCAUUUAAGUCAGCGGUUAAAUCGUGGGGCUCAACCCCAUUCUGCCGUUGAUACUGGGUGGCUUGAUUGCGGUCGAGGUUGGCGGAAUUCGUUGUGUAGCGGUGAAAUGCAUAGAUAUGACGAAGAACACCGAUUGCGUAGGCAGCUGACCAGACCGCAAAUGACGCUCAUGCACGAAGGUGCGGGGAUCGAACAGGAUUAGAUACCCUGGUAGUCCGCACAGUAAACGAUGAAUACUUGUUUUCGGCGAUAUAAUGUCGGAGGCAAAGCGAAAGCGAUAAGUAUUCCACCUGGGGAGUACGCCGGCAACGGUGAAACUCAAAGGAAUUGGCGGGG
rnacentral:rRNA from 1 species